AUUGAACGCUGGCGGCAAGCCUAACACAUGCAAGUCGAACGAGUGGCGGAAGGGUGAGUAGUGUCUGGGCAACUGCCUGAUGGAGGGGUAUAACGACUGGAAACGGUAGCUAAUACCGCAUACCAUCGGAUGUGCCCAGAUGGGAGUAGCUAGUGGGUGGGGGAAAGGCUCACCUAGGCGACGAUCCCUAGCUGGUCUGAGAGGCUGACCAGCCACACUGGAACGGAGACACGGCCCAGACUCCUACGGGAGGCAGCAGUGGGGAAUAUUGCACAAUGGGCGCAAGCCUGAUGCAGCCAUGCCGCGUGUAUGAAGAAGGCCUUCGGGUUGUAAAGUACUUUCAGCGGGGAGGCGUUACCCGCAGAAGAAGCACCGGCUAACUCCGUGCCAGCCGCCGCGGUAAUAC
rnacentral:rRNA from 1 species